UGACCAAUCAAGGCUACAGAUAAGCAGCCUCUUUUUUAUUUUAUAUAGCAUUUAUUAAGUCAAAUGCAAGAUUUAAAACUUUUUAAAAGCAUAUAUACAUUAAGAUAACUGCAAACAUAAUUACUUUUUUUUCUUAGACUUACAUAGUGAAGUGCACAGGCUCACAAAAAUUAGACUUUAUAUUCAGUACUGUAACAUUAGUAAAUUAUUGAACAAUGUUGAAGUUAAUCGUAUAAGUAUUUUGCUUCCCACCAAAAAAUAAAUAAACAAUACAUGUAUAACCUGCCCAUACAUAUAAAUUAAAAUAUAUGAUUUGGAAGGACCUGCUUUGACUUUGUCUGAAAUAUAUCUUUUAUUGUCUUAUGGUAUUAUUUUGUUCAAAUUCUUCAGCUAUACGUUUAACUGUUCAAAAUUGUGUCUCAAAAAUAAAACCUAUUUUUUGGAAGAUGUGAAUACAGAAAAAUAUUCAUACAAUGUCAUGAAAUUUUACAUCUUCUACAGAGUUUUAUUCUCGUUAAAACUUUUCUCUCCUGCUAUUUUUUUUUCAAAAACAUUUUUUUUAAACUGAUAUGAAUGCUAAUGCUUUCAAAUAUUUGAAUUGUUUAUGGUAGUUUUAAAUCUAAUGACAUAU
rnacentral:lncRNA from 1 species